rnacentral:rRNA from 1 species
UUGAAAUACCAGUCUGGUCGUGCUGGAUGUCUAACCUCGGUCCGUGAUCCGGAUCAGGGACAGUGUCUGAUGGGUAGUUUAACUGGGGCGGUUGCCUCCUAAAGAGUAACGGAGGCGCCCAAAGGUUCCCUCAGCCUGGUUGGCAAUCAGGUGUUGAGUGUAAGUGCACAAGGGAGCUUGACUGUGAGACCGACGGGUCGAGCAGGGACGAAAGUCGGGACUAGUGAUCCGGCGGUGGCUUGUGGAAGCGCCGUCGCUCAACGGAUAAAAGGUACCCCGGGGAUAACAGGCUGAUCUUCCCCAAGAGUCCAUAUCGACGGGAUGGUUUGGCACCUCGAUGUCGGCUCGUCGCAUCCUGGGGCUGGAGUCGGUCCCAAGGGUUGGGCUGUUCGCCCAUUAAAGCGGUACGCGAGCUGGGUUUAGAACGUCGUGAGACAGUUCGGUCCCUAUCCGCUGUGCGCGUAGGAAUAUUGAGAAGGGCUGUCCCUAGUACGAGAGGACCGGGACGGACGAACCUCUGGUGUGCCAGUUGUCCUGCCAAGGGCAUGGCUGGUUGGCUACGUUCGGGAGGGAUAACCGCUGAAAGCAUCUAAGCGGGAAGCCUGCUUCGAGAUGAGUAUUCCCACCUCCUUGAGAGGGUAAGGCUCCCAGUAGACGACUGGGUUGAUAGGCCAGAUAUGGAAGCCCGGUAACGGGUGGAGUUGACUGGUACUAAUAGGCCGAGGGCUUGUCCUCAGUUG